GUGUGUUUGUAUGUUAGUGUGUCUGUCUGUUAGUGUGUGUGUCUUUUAGUGUGUGUGUCUGUCUGUUAGUGUCUGUCUGUUAGUGUCUGUCUGUUAGUGUGUUUGUCUGUUAGUGUAUGUGUGUGUCUGUUAGUGUCUGUGUCUGUUAGUGAGUGUGUGUGUGUUUGCCUGCUAGUGUGUGUGUGUGUGUGUCUGUUAGUGUGUGUCUGUGAGUGAGUGUGUGUGUCUGUUAGUGAGUAUGUGUUUCUGUUAGCUAGUGUAUGUGUAUCUGUCAGUGAAUGUGUGUGUGUGUGUAUUUAGAAGGUGGGG